GCGCCCGUAGCUCAGAACGGAUAGAGCACCGGACUUGUAAUCCGGAGGUCGCCGGUUCGAGUCCGGCCGGGCGUUCCA
rnacentral:tRNA from 1 species